CCAGGCACAAGGGGACAUCCGACACCGGCACCAGAAGUUAGAGGGCUUUACAGGUAUGAAUGCUAGUCAGGUGCUGGAGGUACCAACCAAAGGGUUUGUCAGCCAUGACCAGGCAGCACUAAAGGCUGAAAACAAAAAAGAAAAAAAAAAUGCAAACAAAGGGGGCGAGCCGACAGGCAGCUACCUUAGUGAAGCAAACAGAAGAUUGCUUCACAGGGUGGAGGCUGAGGCCAGGGCCAUAAAGGGGGACAACAAGGAGGACCGUCUCACCCAGGGCCAAAACUGGGGCAGAACCAAUAUGCCUACUGUCACCAGGAAGGCCACUGGAAAAAUGAGUGCCCCCAAUUUUCAGAUGAUUCCUGAUCAGGCCUCAAACAGAGGGGAAGAGGUCAGGUGGUCCCGGGCAGAUAUCAGCCGGCCCAGCAGCCACAUGGGGCCCCCAAAAAUGAUUUGUAGGGCUGGCUGCUGUGGGAAACUAUGAGAAAAACUAAGACAGACUGGGCUCCAUUCUGUUAGGCCCCCAAGAGCCUAUGGUCCAAAUAAAUGCAGGGGGCCGGCCCAUUGACUUCAUGGUAGAUACUGGGGCACAACACUUAGUGGUAACUCAGCCUAUGGGCGCACUCUCACAGAGAUGAGCCAUCAUCGUAGGGGCCACAGACAACCAAACACGGUGCCCCUUCCUGCUGCCUAGACCAUGCACUUUGGGGGGACAUAAAGUCAUUCAUGAAUUUCUAUACCUCCCCGACUGUCCUGUGACUUUGAUGGGAUGGGACCUGUUGGGAAAGCUAAAGGCCCAGAUCUGCCAAGAAAAAGUUAAAUACUGGAGUUCCCAGGUUCGAUCCCUGGCCUUGCUCAGUGGGUUAAGGAUCCGGUGUUGCCGUGAGCUGUGGUGUAGUUCGCAGAUGCAGCUCGGAUCCUGUGUUGCUGUGGCUGUGGUGUAGGCUAUGAUUAGACCCCUAGCCUGGGAACCUCCAUAUGCCGCGGAAGCUGCCUUAGAAAAGGCAAAAAAAAGCAGGCUGUCUGCUCAAUCCUGGUCCUUCCACCCAACACCAGGUUCGGGAAUUUCUCAGGGCCACAGGUUUCUACAGGAUCUGGAUACCCAAUUUCUCCAUUUUGACAAAACCCCUUUAUGAGGCCACAAAGCGGGGAAAACGAGAAUCUCUGUUGUGGGAAUGAGUGAAUUAAAGGGCUUCAAAGAAAUUAAGCGAGUCCUCACCAAUGUGCCUGACCUAGGACUCCCGUACAUGGCCUAGCCUUUCUUCUUGUGCAUGCACAAGCACCCUGGGGUCACAGUGGGGGUCUUAACUCAGAUGCUGGGGUCAUGGCGUCAUCCACUGGCAUAUCUUUCCAAACAACCUGACUCUGUUGCCCAGGGAUGGCCACCCUGCCUGUGGGCACUUGCAGCCACAACAUUCUUAGUGUUGGAAGCUGAUAAAUUGACUAUGGGACAAAAACUAACAGUCCAGGUGCCCCAUUCGGUGCUGCCAUUAAUGGAAUAUCAGGGGCAAUAGUGGCCGACCAAUGCCCGGUUGGUCAAACCUCAGGGAAUGUUAUGUGAAAACCCACGCAUUCGCCUGGAGGUGGUAAGGACCCGAAACCCUGCAACCCUGCUACUUGUCAGGCUAGGCCAGCCAGAUCAUGCUGUGAUGAAGUCAUGGAUGAAAUAUUCUCCAGUUGGCUGGAUUUCAUGGACCAGCAUUUGUGGCAAAAGUAGUACAACUGGUGGCAAAGGGAUUAAAAAUCAUCUGGAAGUUGCACACAGCCUAUUGGCCCCGAAGCUCGGGAAAGAUAGAAUGGAUGAAUCAGACUCUGAAACUGCAAUUAAGCAAACUGUGCCAGAAGACGCACCUGCAUUGGGGCCAGCUCUUGCCAGUAGCCUUGCUAAAAAUUAGGUCCACCCACUAAACAGACUGGGUUUUCUCCUUAUAAAAUCCUCUAUGGGUGCCCCCCCCCCCAGUAAGGGUAUAAGGGGCGACUUGAACUAGGGGACCUCACCCUGAGGCAGCAGAUGCAGGCACUAGGUUCCACCCUGGCCACCCUCCAUUGAUGGGUUAGGAAAUGAUUACCUGUAAGCCUAAUCACAGACACCCACCCCUUCAAGCCAGGGGGUGCUGUCUGGGUAAAAAGAAUGGAAUGUCCAGCCAUUGAAACCUCUUUGGAGGGGCCAAUUUACUGUCAUUUUAUCCACCCCUACUGCAAUAAAGGUGGCAGCAGUGGCUCCUUGGAUCCACCACAGCAGAGUAAAACCAGCAUCAUGAGGCUGGGAGUGCAUCCCUGACUCUCUGACACCAUGCAAGCUGACCAUCUGAAAGAAGCAAGCUGUAGCUGCAGAGACCUGCGAGGACGACAGCCCUGCUCUGGAGGCUGACUAGUCUAUGCAUGGUGCAAGCUUGAGGAAUUAGCCACAAGAUGAUGGGAUAAAUAGAGUGUGUCCAUUCCUCAUUUUGGUCCCCUUAUGGUGAGGCACUGCCACCCCUUGUACCUGUCUGUUAUUGUGGCCAUUGUCCAAAUCUUGGCCAUAGGAAUGGAAAUGUGGCUGAUUGGAAAUGUGGCAAAAAGUUCCUGCCCGUGCUCUGCUUCAUCUUCUGGCUGAGAUGUUUUGUUGUUAUUGGUUGCUUCUGGUCUGGGCCCCUUUUGCCCCUCCUGUAGACUCAAAUUCCACACCUUUGAAUAAGUGUAUGGGGAAGAUUUGGUAUUGAGGGAAGUUUGGAUUGUCCUUCACCCCCUAUGCCUAGCAACUAGCUGCUGGUUAUUGAGGCACUGCUCCCACCCUUUGCACACAUAAUGGUGAAAGAUAUUGGAUGGGAUGGAUAAAGACAAAAUACCCAGAGGGCCACACUUGCCAGGGCCCGAAGAGAAGGGGUACAGAGGCUUGGGCCUGUUGGACAUACGACAGACAUUGGGGCAUGUCUAAUGGAGGGGGAAUUCAGGAUCAUGCCCAGGCCCAGCUAACCAGAGAAACUUUGCAAAGGAUAAAACAACAGGCAACAGGCAGGCCCAAGGCCCCCACAACCGGGGUCCAGCCCAGUCUGUGACCAACUCAGGAAGGACCUGGGUCCAGACUAGGACUUCCCUACCCUAGAGAAGAACCUUUUCAUUGACCUAGUUAAAAGGAUUGCCCAUGAGUUCAAUGUCACUGAGUGUUGUGUCUGUGGAGGGGCCCUUAUGAGUGAAGAAUGGCCUUGGAAGGAGACCAGUCUAGAUGCACUCCAUUUACUCCAAUGGAAUCAUUCCAUAACAGAGAGAGAAAACAACCAGCCCCAAAACUGGGUCUUGGCCUCAGAGGUGAUUGGAGAAGAGUGCAUUAGUAGAACAAGUCCCGGUUAUAGACAAUGGGUAGGAGGAACUCCAUGCAAAAGAAGGCUUUCUUGGGACUCUACCAGUUUUGAGUGGUGGCCAAACACUCCUACCUGGCAUUGGGCCCUGGCCUCUGUGGUUAAUACCUCCCAGUGUCAAUCUUCUCCCUACUAGGCCAUAGUCAAUUGUACUAUACAUGCUAAGGAGGAGGCCAAUCCAUUCCAUGGCAUACCUGAAAUUAGUAAAUACUGGGACACCCUUACUCUUAGUGACCCCAAGCACUGGAGGGCACCUGAUGGACUGUUUUGGAUAUGUGGAAAAAGAGCAUAUACACAACUCCCCACUCAAUGGAAAGGGAGCUACACCAUUGGAAUAAUCCAACCUGGAUUUUUCCUCCUGCCUAACCAGAAGGGAGGAAAAAUUAGGGGUUCCCCUUUAUCAGAGCCUAAAGGUUAAGACCAGAAGGAGUCCUAUGAUAGGAGGACAACAAAUAUGGGGAAAAAAAGAGUGGCCACCCUGGAGAAUUAUUCGGAUAUGUGGUUCAGCCACUUGGGCACAAGAUGGGAGUUGGGGCUACUGAACCCCUACAUAUAUGCUCAAUUGAAUCAUCAGGUAACAGGUGGUACUGGAAAUUAUUACUAACCAAAUAGCCACGGCCCUGGAACUCAUGACAAAACAACAAUCACAAGUGCAUAUAGCUAUACAGAACCUCCUAGCCUUAGAUUACCUAUUAGCAGAAGAAGGAGGAGUAUGUGGAAAAUUUAAUCGAUCCAUCUGCUGCCUCCAGAUAGACGACAAUGGCCACAUAACCACAAACAUCAGAAAAGUGGCUAAUGCCCCCAUACAGACUGGGGAGGGCUGGAACCCCAGGGAGCUAUUCGGGGGAUGGUUUUCAACCUUUGGGGGAUUCAAAACUCUCAUAGGUAUUGUGCUCAUGAUUGUGGGAUGCUGGCUGAUCUUACCCUGUCUGGCUCCUCUAGUUAUAAGAUCUGUCUCUGGUCUCAUUGAGACCCUGAUCAACAGGAAGACGGCCACACAUGUGAUGAUGCUGUGGAAAUACAAACCCCUAGCCCGAGAUGAUGCUCUUUGACCCUGAGAAAGGGAUCAGAGCAUCGGGGGUGGGGGUGGGGGAAUGUAGUGGGGAGGGGGAGGGGGAGGGGGAGGGCCCUCCCAGAACAAAGGGAAGGCAGCACGCAACAUCAGCACCUGUGUACGCAUGUGCAGUUCUGCAACAAUGUAGCAUAACCUGUAUCCAUGGGCGCAAGUGCGUCUAUAACUGCCCCCCCCACAAAUUACAGAAUAUAUGUUACCUUAUAAGGGGGACAAAGGGACUUAGAUGUAACAGAAAAAAGACUAACGGGGGUAUAUAAGGUGACACCCCACUGCGUUCGGGGCUCAGCCUUUGGAUCUGAAUCUGCUGAGCCAGUGCCGGCAUGAAUAAAUGCUACUUCCUGG
rnacentral:lncRNA from 1 species